CCCAGGUCAGGCGGGGCUACCCGCUGAAUUUAAGCAUAUCAAUAAGCAGGAGAAA
rnacentral:rRNA from 1 species